GCCACUGUGUUUCAGGUUAUCUAUUACCUUCCCAGGCCUCUGCGUUUCAAGGCAGGGAGUAAUUUUUUAACUUUCACAUUGAUCCACACCGUCGUCCACACCAUCCCUAACCUGCCUCUCCCUGCUGGUGUGAGAUACAGCGGCCUGGAGACAGACACCCCUCCGCCUCAGAGCCGCAGGGCUUCACCCAAUUCCCCGCUUCACACAUAGGAGGGGACCCACAUAAUUCAGCCCUGGCCUGCAGCCCUACUGCCCAGCAGGGCAGGGGCAGGAGAGAGCAGCUGCUGCACCAGGCGAAAAAGGGGACGAUUUUAACAGGUCGUGUCGUGCUGAUGAAGACCGAUGUCUGGUUCUCCUGUUGGCUGUGCACCCGUGUCUGUGUUAGGGUCAAGAACUGGCACAACGGCCUACAGCUCUCGAGAGCCCACUCCCUUCACUGCCAAACCGAAAACAGCUUUUCUUCCUGAAAGAGAAUCGGGAUCAUCCGAGCCGAGCCCCAGUGCCUCAGACCUCGACUUCGGACUCCUGGUCCCUUGCAUCAGCUGGAAUUCGGCUGCCUGUGAAAUUCCACGGUGCACGACUGUAGGGCCCUUAGCCAGCCCUGGUCAUUCAUUAUUUCAUUAUUCUUCUGUUCUCAUUGACAAAAGCGCAGCUAAAGAUCACUGAGCUUAGAAGCAGCCGACUUGUGAGGUUAAUAGACAAUCAAGAGUCCAGGAGGACUUUCAGUAGUUUUUUUGAGUAGGAAAAAAAAUAUAUUGUUUUUCAAUCAAGCACAUUAUUAGCGUGAUUAAAGUUUCAAUUAAGUAAUUAAGCUUUCUAAUCUAAAUCACUGCCCUGUCCUGCUCUGGAAGUGUCUCAAUCCAGCAGGUUUGAUCGGGAAUAGAUAAAUAUUACUUUAAAACAAUCUGUAAUUAAUGGGAACAAUUUGCAAUUAAUUAAAUUAGGAACAAAAUAUGUUCGACACCUCAGGGAUCAGAGUUCUCUUUUACAAACUCCUCGCUUAACUGAUCGAUGAGCCACAGGUAUUUAAAAACCGGACUGGGGCUGGAGAUGCUUGUUCGAGUCUGUGCACGAGGGAUGAAACACUGAAAGUUUCAGCAACACUAAAACCUGCAAGCACAGGUGGUGUAACAGUUUAUUCAAAGAUGAUAUCAAUUUUAAUUCAGAUCAGAGCUGGAGAACGAAACCGAGAGCUCUGCUCUGGAGGACUGGAGCUGCCCACCUGAAAGCAACAGAAGGAAAAGAGACACACAAGCACAAGAGGCUUCGGGUGUUCAAAGAGGUUUUAAAGCACUUUCCUCUUCUCAAAACGUGAAUUAUUUUAAAACGUGGAAGUCUUCCUCCAGGAAAAAGGGAACAGUAGAGCAGCGGUCAGCCACAGCUGCACUCGUGUCCAGCAGAAAUGCAUCAUUCCAGCUGCCGGACACAGCACAGCCCCUCGCUGUGGAGCGAUUCCGAGACCAGCAGAGUCGAGCCCCCCCUGAGCUUUCAGUAGCCGCAGUCCCGGUGGCCUUGCAGAGGAUCAAAGAAAGGGUACUGGUUUCUCAUCACAACCUUUUGUAGUUGUCAAUUCAUAACUUAGGAAAGUUUAGAGAUGAGACUAUUCCGGCCUGUCUGGCUAGUUAAAAGCGUACUGAUUCCUUCAUAACAGGACUGGGCUGCUUGUUACACACUCCUGACCCACUCGGGAUCCUUCGUUCUGAACCUCUUCCAGCGGGUAGCGAGUCUUUGUUGAUCGCUGUAAACUGAACUGUUGGUCCUAUUUAAAUGCAGAAUUCUGGUGAAUGAAGAAAAGGAACAGAGACUGAUCGACACACACUGGGCUUUUUUAACAAAACCUGAUAUCCAGCUGCAUCUAAAAAAAAAAAAAGGUCUUCUUAAUAAUUA